rnacentral:rRNA from 1 species
UACGGAGGGAGCUAGCGUUGUUCGGAUUCAUUGGGCGUAAAGGGUGCGUAGGUGGCGCGCUAAGUCAGGUGUGAAAUCUCGGGGCUUAACUCCGAAACUGCAUUUGAUACUGGCGUGCUUGAGGACUGGAGAGGAGACUGGAAUUCAUGGUGUAGCAGUGAAAUGCGUAGAGAUCAUGAGGAAGACCAGUGGCGAAGGCGGGUCUCUGGACAGUUCCUGACACUGAGGCACGAAGGCCAGGGGAGCAAACGGG